rnacentral:rRNA from 1 species
UUUGAUCCUGGCUCAGGAUGAACGCUGGCGGCGUGCUUAACACAUGCAAGUCGAGCGAUGAAGUUUCCUUCGGGAAACGGAUUAGCGGCGGACGGGUGAGUAACACGUGGGUAACCUGCCUCAUAGAGUGGAAUAGCCUUCCGAAAGGAAGAUUAAUACCGCAUAAUGUUGAAAGAUGGCAUCAUCAUUCAACCAAAGGAGCAAUCCGCUAUGAGAUGGACCCGCGGCGCAUUAGCUAGUUGGUGGGGUAACGGCCUACCAAGGCGACGAUGCGUAGCCGACCUGAGAGGGUGAUCGGCCACAUUGGGACUGAGACACGGCCCAGACUCCUACGGGAGGCAGCAGUGGGGAAUAUUGCACAAUGGGGGAAACCCUGAUGCAGCAACGCCGCGUGAGUGAUGAAGGUUUUCGGAUCGUAAAGCUCUGUUUUUGGGGAAGAUAAUGACGGUACCCAAGGAGGAAGCCACGGCUAACUACGUGCCAGCAGCCGCGGUAAUACGUAGGUGGCGAGCGUUAUCCGGAUUUACUGGGCGUAAAGGGAGCGUAGGCGGAUGAUUAAGUGGGAUGUGAAAUACCCGGGCUCAACUUGGGUGCUGCAUUCCAAACUGGUUAUCUGGAGUGCAGGAGAGGAGAGUGGAAUUCCUAGUGUAGCGGUGAAAUGCGUAGA